rnacentral:rRNA from 1 species
GGCUCAGGAUGAACGCUAGCUACAGGCUUAACACAUGCAAGUCAGGGGCAGCAUGAGAUAGCUUGCAUUCAGAUGGCGACCGGCGCACGGGUGAGUAACGCGUAUCCAACCUUCCCUAUAGUAGAGAAUAGCCCGGCGAAAGUCGGAUUAAUGCUCUAUGUUCUUCUUUGAUGGCAUCUGAUGAGAAGCAAAGGUUCACCGCUAUAGGAUGGGGAUGCGUCUGAUUAGCUUGUUGGCGGGUAACGGCCCACCAAGGCUACGAUCAGUAGGGUUCUGAGAGGAAGGUCCCCCACAUUGGUACUGAGACACGGACCAAACUCCUACGGGAGGCAGCAGUGAGGAAUAUUGGUCAAUGGGCGAGAGCCUGAACCAGCCAAGUAGCGUUGCAGGAUGACUGCCCUAUGGGUUGUAAACUGCUUUUAUAGGGGAAUAAAGUGAGGUACGUGUACCUUUUUGUAUGUACCCUAUGAAUAAGGACCGGCUAAUUCCGUGCCAGCCGCUGC